CUUUAACUCCUCAUCGUGGUUAGCAAGAGACUGUCCAGCGGGAAGAAGCAGCGGGCAUCAGCGCCAGACAGCAGCUGCAUUCAAGCAAUCCCGCCUAUUCGGUGCCGGAUUGGAAGAAAACAUGAGAGAAGAAAGAAAAAUCAUCAAUAAC